rnacentral:rRNA from 1 species
AUUGAACGCUGGCGGCAGGCUUAACACAUGCAAGUCGAGCGGGGUGAUGGUGCUUGCACUAUCACUUAGCGGCGGACGGGUGAGUAAUGCUUAGGAAUCUGCCUAUUAGUGGGGGACAACAUCUCGAAAGGGAUGCUAAUACCGCAUACGUCCUACGGGAGAAAGCAGGGGAUCACUUGUGACCUUGCGCUAAUAGAUGAGCCUAAGUCGGAUUAGCUAGUUGGUGGGGUAAAGGCCUACCAAGGCGACGAUCUGUAGCGGGUCGAAGAGGAUGAUCCGCCACACUGGGACUAAGACACGGCCCAGACGCCUACGGGAGGCAGCAGUGGGGAAUAUUGGACAAUGGGGGGAACCCUGAUCCAGCCAUGCCGCGUGUGUGAAGAAGGCCUUAUGGUUGUAAAGCACUUUAAGCGAGGAGGAGGCUCUUUUGGUUAAUACCCAAGAUGAGUGGACGUUACUCGCAGAAUAAGCACCGGCUAACUCUGUGCCAGCCGCCGCUGUAA